AGAAUUCCAAGAAAUUAAAUUCGCAGAAGUUCUCAUUCCCUCGUACUGAUGAGCUGGAAUUCCCAUCACCCUCUCAAGUGGACCCCACAAUUCCUGAUCUACCUCCCGUCCCUAAGAUCCCUUAUCUUCCACCGCUGCCACAACUCCCUCCUCUCCCUCCCAUCCCAAUUGGUGUCCCAGGACUCCCAGGACUUCCUGGAAUUCCAGGUUCGCCCCCUGUUGCUGUAAAAACUUCAUCUGUGUCCUCCAACUCCAAAACUUCAAAGAAUGAGCAACUAGGUGAUAAUAAAGAAGUAGCGCAUCCAGAUACUAUAUUUCCACCUUUAUUUCCACCAAUUAUCCCUAAUCCAUUUCAGCCCCCUCCACUUAUCCCUAAUCCACUUCAGCCCCCUCCACUUAUCCCUAAUCCAUUUCAGCCCCCACCAGCUCCAUUAAUCCCUAAUUUGCCCCCUCUUCCUGGUUCUCCACCAGCAGGUCCAGCACCAUUGAUUCCCAACCUGCCAAUUCCCAACCUGCCACCUAUAUCUGGUUUGACUCCAUCGCCGUCACCACCACCACCAAUCAUCCCACUCCUCCCUCCACUCCCCUUCCCACUGCCACCUGUGCCUCGGAUCCCCGGAAUUCCCCCAGCAGCUUCUUCAAAACAAAGUACUUCACCUUGAUUUAAAGUAAUUAAUAUAUUUAACUAUGAAACAUGUAU
rnacentral:lncRNA from 1 species